UUGAUCCUGGCUCAGAAUCAACGCUGGCGGCGUGCCUCAGACAUGCAAGUCGAACGAUUAAAGCUCUCUUCGGAGAGUGCAUAGAGUGGCGCACGGGUGUGUAACACGUAAGUAAUCUACCUUCGAGUGGGGAAUAACCCGGGGAAACCUGAGCUAAUACCGCAUAACGCAGCGGCAUCGCAAGAUGACAGUUGUUAAAUGAGCAAUCCGCUUGAAGAGGAGCUUGCGGCAGAUUAGCUAGUUGGUAAGUUAACGGCUUACCAAGGCUACGAUCUGUAUCCGGUCUAAGAGGACGGUCGUACACACUGACACUGAAUAACGGGUCAGACUCCUACGGGAGGCAGCAGUCUGGAAUUUUGGGCAAUGGGCGAAAGCCUGACCCAGCAACGCCGCGUGAAGUAUGAAGUAUUUCGGUAUGUAAACUUCGAAAGAAUAGGAAGAAUAAAUGAUGGUACUAUUUAUAAGCUCCGGCUAACUACGUGCCAGCAGCCGCGGUAAUUAGGU
rnacentral:rRNA from 1 species